rnacentral:rRNA from 1 species
GGCGAACGCUGGCGGCGUGCUUAACACAUGCAAGUCGAACGGUAAGGCUCCAGCUUGCUGGGGUACACGAGUGGCGAACGGGUGAGUAACACGUGGGUGACCUGCCCUGCACUUCGGGAUAAGCCUGGGAAACUGGGUCUAAUACCGGAUAGGACCAUGGUUUGGAUACCGUGGUGGAAAGUUUUUUCGGUGUGGGAUGGGCCCGCGGCCUAUCAGCUUGUUGGUGGGGUAAUGGCCUACCAAGGCGGCGACGGGUAGCCGGCCUGAGAGGGUGGACGGCCACAUUGGGACUGAGAAACGGCCCAGACUCCUACGGGAGGCAGCAGUGGGGAAUAUUGUACAAUGGGCGGAAGCCUGAUGCAGCGACGCCGCGUGGGGGAUGACGGCCUUCGGGUUGUAAACUCCUUUCACCAUCGACGAAGGGUUUCUGACGGUAGAUGGAGAAGAAGCACCGGCUAACUACGUG